GUUCAAACACCGGUUCUUGUACGAUCACCGAAGUUAAGUAACGCUGAUCUUGGUCAGUACCUACAUGAGUGACCGCUUGGGAAUACCAGGUGCUGUAA